CCCACAAUUCUUGCUUCUUGGGUGUCGGAGGAGUACGAGGAGAGCAGGGAGGAAGAAGAUGAGGAGGAGCUUCUGCUUCAGCGAAGAGGAGGGGGAGAGAGAAUGUCCUGUGGUUGGGCAGUGCAGCUGCUGAGAGGAGCUGCGUUCUUGUUCAUGACUCAUGAGGUCCACAGCAGUCAACCGGCCGGGAUUCCACAGAGGAACGCGGCGAAGGAAGCCACCACCCACCAUGGGAGGAAGCCCUGGGAAUGGCGGUUUGUGGGGCCUCGCACGUGCGUGGGGCGGCGUGGCAGGUGCGGCCACCCCGGCUUGGCUUAAUUCCCUGGGCGUCAUUGUUUAGUGCUGCCUUUCCUAUUCUCCCUUUUUCUUCGUGUGCGACAUGGCACCUGCUUCUUUGAUUUUUCGGUGUAUUGUUGCUUAUUGUAAUUCAUUUCUGCACCUAAAGCAUUUCAAUGGCAAACCUCAAAGUUUAAAACUCUAA